rnacentral:rRNA from 1 species
CUAACCUGCCCACUGAUUUAUUAAAGGGCCGCGGUAUAUUGACUGUGCAAAGGUAGCAUAAUCAUUUGUCUUUUAAUUGAAGGCUAGAAUGAAUGGUUGAAUGAAGUAUAUACUGUCUCAUUUUAAAAAAAAUAAAAAUUUAGUUUUUAAGUGAAAAAGCUUAAAUAUAAUUGGAGGACGAGAAGACCCUAUAGAUCUUUAUAUUUUAUUUUAUUUAUAAAAUUUAUAAAAAAUUAAUUUUAAAUAAAUUAAAAUAUUUAGUUGGGGUGACUAGAAAAUUUAAUAAACUAUUUUUAUUUAAUAACAUAAAUGUAUGAAUUAUUGAUCCAAUUAUAUUGAUUAAAAAUUUAAGUUACCUUAGGGAUAACAGCGUAAUUAUUUUAAAGAGUUCUUAUCGAUAAAAUAGAUUGCGACCUCGAUGUUGAAUUAAAGAU